CAAUCACUUGUCUUUUAAAUGAAGACCUGUAUGAAUGGCGAAACGAGGGCUCAACUGUCUCCCCCUUUUAAUCAGUGAAAUUGAUCUCCCCGUGCAGAAGCGGGGAUACCACCAUAAGACGAGAAGACCCUGUGGAGCUUUAGAUAUAUAAAGGGAUUAUACCAAAUUUGCCUUCUAAACAGGCUAAACUAAUUAAUAUCCUUUUUGCUGUCUUUGGUUGGGGCGACCACGGGGAAAAAUAAAACCCCCACGCGGAUAAAAAGAACCCGCUUUUACAGAGUAGAGCCUCAGCUCUACAACACAGAACUUCUGACCUUCAGAUCCGGCCAUGCCGAUCAACGGACCGAGUUACCCCAGGGAUAACAGCGCAAUCCUCUUUAAGAGCCCA
rnacentral:rRNA from 1 species